rnacentral:rRNA from 1 species
GACGAACGCUGGCGGCGUGCCUAAUACAUGCAAGUCGAGCGAACAGAAGGGAGCUUGCUCCCGGAUGUUAGCGGCGGACGGGUGAGUAACACGUGGGUAACCUGCCUGUAAGACUGGGAUAACUCCGGGAAACCGGAGCUAAUACCGGAUAGUUCCUUGAACCGCAUGGUUCAAGGAUGAAAGACGGUUUCGGCUGUCACUUACAGAUGGACCCGCGGCGCAUUAGCUAGUUGGUGGGGUAAUGGCUCACCAAGGCGACGAUGCGUAGCCGACCUGAGAGGGUGAUCGGCCACACUGGGACUGAGACACGGCCCAGACUCCUACGGGAGGCAGCAGUAGGGAAUCUUCCGCAAUGGACGAAAGUCUGACGGAGCAACGCCGCGUGAGUGAUGAAGGUUUUCGGAUCGUAAAGCUCUGUUGUUAGGGAAGAACAAGUGCGAGAGUAACUGCUCGCACCUUGACGGUACCUAACCAGAAAGCCACGGCUAACUACGUGCCAGCCGCCGCCGUAAGAC